GCCGGGAUAGCUCAGUUGGGAGAGCAGCAGACUGAAGGCACCGUGGGCUGAACAGGUCUACCACUGCAUUCUGAAGGUCCCGUGUUCAAUCCACGGUCCUGGCA